ACGGACUCGCCAUGUCUACGGCCCCACCCACCUCCUGCUAUCUCUUCGAUAAAUGGGCUCGAGGUGGUUCACCUGUAUUAGGCCCAAUUAAUACAAUUGGGCCUUGUUAAAAGGCCUAUUCUUCCCACAAAUGAGGAAAGCCUACGCUUUAUUUUUCUCUUUUUCUGAGACUUGGGGACCACUUUUUUUUCCUCGAGUUUCAGCCCAUAUUCAAAGACAUUCUGAGUUGGUGUCAGUACAGUAGAUGCCCGCGACAUCGGAGAGGCGUGACCCUCACGUGCGAUCUCAACCGUCCGAUGUUCUGGGAGCGCGUGUGUUCCAAAUCCAUAACUCUCUCCUCCCCCACAGUCCGAUGCGUCGCCAUAACUUGUGGCGGGGCCUCCUCUUUUCGCUUUUUCUUUGGGUUUCCCCAACACAAUCGCAAAAUUGAAUCGCGUAUGGCUGGCUGCCUGGCUCAUACGUCAUCUGUAACAAUAAUAUUUGAUGUGAAUGCGAUGUUUUCCGCUGAAACGCGAAAGCCGAUGCAUUCGUUUUUACGUAUAUUCAGGAUUUUUAAUAAAUGGUUGUUUUUGAAAGCCAAAACAGAACAAGAAAAGUUAGGCGUGAAAGGAGAAAGUGAGUCUGCGUAUGAAAAAAGAAACAUCCAAACACGGAACAAGCAUCUCUCCCUGUUCUCUGCGUCGAUUGCUACUUCCAGGAUCAGCCCUCGUUGAUAAACCACGACAGAAGAAACCCUGAUUUCUUCAGCAGCAGAAGAUCUUCGCACAAGACAGAGAAAUGCAUGCGAAGACGGACUCGGAGGGGACGAGCAUCGAGGCGGCGUCGUCGUGGGCGCCGCCACGGACGGCGGCGAGGCCUCUCUACUACGUCCAGAGCCCAUCCAACCAUGACGUCGAGAAGAUGUCGUUCGGGUCGGGCUGCAGCCCGAUGGCUUCACCCGCCCACCCGCAUUUCUACCACUGCUCCCCCAUCCACCACUCCCGCGAGUCCUCUACCUCUCGCUUCUCCGACUCCCUCAAGCCCCACCCUCUCUUCCCUUACAAGUCCCUCCGUCUCCGCCUCCACGCCGGAGAUCUCUCCGACGACGGCGACUCCGACUCCGACGGCGACGGCUCUCGCAAUCUCCGGCUCUAUCUCUGUCUGUUCGUCUCGUUCCUUGUCUUGUUCACCCUCUUCUCUCUCAUCCUCUGGGGCGCCAGCAAAUCCUACCCUCCCAAAGUCAUCGUCAAGGGGAUAGUGUUCGAGAACAUGAACGUGCAGGCGGGGAACGACAGAACGGGGGUGACGACGGACAUGCUGACUAUGAACUCGACGGUCAGAUUUCUCUUCCGCAAUCCCUCCACCUUCUUCGCCGUCCACGUCACCUCCUCCCCCUUCCUCUUCCACUAUUCCCAGCUCACUCUCGCCUCCGGCCAGAUGAAGAAGUUCACGCAGCCGCGUAAGAGCCAGCGGAGCGUGGUGACGGUGGUGCAAGGCCACCAGGUACCUCUGUACGGUGGAAUCUCAGUGCUCUCGAGCCAACACGACCAUCUGGACAGAGUGUCUCUCCCGCUCAAUCUAACAAUGGUUCUGCGGUCCAGAGCUUACAUUCUGGGUAGGCUGGUCAAGUCCAAGUUCUAUACCAAGAUCAGAUGCCCCCUCACUCUCCACGCUAACAGACUUGGCAAACCCAUGCGUCUCCACCCCCACUCCUGCCUUUAUUCUCGCUGACUCACCUCUCGCUUCUAGAGCUCUUGCUUCUCCUUUCUCUAGUGCCCGAUAUCUACAUUUCAGAUCGAUUGGCCGUGGGUCUGCAACACGUUUAUCUGAUGGUUGAACGGGGAAAAAGCCUCCAACAUAAGACUGUUAUUACAGAACACACUGAAACUUAGAUA